CGGACGGGUGAGUAACGCGUGAGAAUCUGCCUCUAGGUUUGGGACAACAGUUGGAAACGGCUGCUAAUACCAGAUGUGCCGGAAGGUGAAAGAUUAAUUGCCUAGAAAUGAGCUCGCGUCAGAUUAGCUAGUAGGUAGUGUAAAGGACUACCUAGGCGACGAUCUGUAGCUGGUCUGAGAGGACGAUCAGCCACACUGGAACUGAGACACGGUCCAGACUCCUACGGGAGGCAGCAGUGGGGAAUUUUCCGCAAUGGGCGAAAGCCUGACGGAGCAAUACCGCGUGAGGGACGAAGGCUUUUGGGUCGUAAACCUCUUUUCUCAGGGAAGAUAAUGACGGUACCUGAGGAAUAAGCAUCGGCUAACUCUGUGCCAGCAGCCGCGGUAAUACAGAGGAUGCAAGCGUUAUCCGGAAUGAUUGGGCGUAAAGCGUCCGCAGGUGGUUUGAUAAGUCUGUUGUUAAAGCGUUAGGCUCAACCUAAUAAGGGCAAUGGAAACUAUUAGACUAGAGUACGUUCGGGGCAGAGGGAAUUCCCAGUGUAGCGGUGAAAUGCGUAGAGAUUGGGAAGAACACCGGUGGCGAAAGCGCUCUGCUAGGCCUGUACUGACACUGAGGGACGAAAGCUAGGGGAGCGAAUGGGAUUAGAUACCCCAGUAGUC
rnacentral:rRNA from 1 species